rnacentral:rRNA from 1 species
UUGGAGGGCAAGUCUGGUGCCAGCAGCCGCGGUAAUUCCAGCUCCAAUAGCGUAUAUUAAAGUUGUUGCAGUUAAAAAGCUCGUAGUUGAAUUUCGGGGUUCAUACGUUGGUCGGGCUUUUUGGUCUGUACUAGCGUAAUGGAUUCCUACCUUCUGAAUAACCGGCAUGUCAUUAAUUUGGUGCGCCGGGGAAGCAGGACUGUUACCUUGAAAAAAUUAGAGUGCUUAAAGCAGGCUAUCGCCUGAAUACAUUAGCAUGGAAUAAUGAAAUAGGACGGCAUGGUUCUAUUUUGUUGGUUUCUAGGAUCACCGUAAUGAUUAAUAGGGAUAGUUGGGGGCAUUAGUAUUCAAUUGUCAGAGGUGAAAUUCUUGGAUUUAUUGAAGACUAACUUCUGCGAAAGCAUUUGCCAAGGAUGUUUUCAUUAAUCAAGAACGAAAGUUAGGGGAUCGAAGACGAUCAGAUACCGUCGUAGUCUUAACCAUAAACUAUGCCGACUAGGGAUCGGACGAUGUUAAUUUUUUAAUGACUCGUUCGGCGCCUUACGGGUU